AGUCAUAUGCUUGUCUCAAAGACUAAGCCAUGCAUGUCUAAGUCCACGCCAAUCUACGGUUAAACCGCGGACGGCUCAUUAAAUCAGAUAUUAUUCAUAGGAGCUGUAUGUUCCAAAACACUAGUUGGAUACCUGUGGUAAUUCUAGAGCUAAUACAUGCCUUGAGUCUCUGACAGUAAUGGAAGAGCGCUUUUAUUUGAUACCAAAACCUUUCUUCGUGCCUUGUGCCGUUGAAAAACCUUGGUGAGUCUAGAUAACCAUAUUUUGCUGAGCGCACGUCCGGUUCACACUGGACGGUGCCGCAUCUUACAAGUGUCUGCCUUAUCAGCUGACGAUUGUAGCUUAAAAGCCUACAAUGGCGAUAACGGGUAACGGGGAAUCAGGGUUCGAUUCCGGAGAGGGAGCCUGAGAAACGGCUACCACAUCUAAGGAAGGCAGCAGGCGCGCAAAUUACCCACUCCCGGCACGGGGAGGUAGUGACGAAAAAUACUGUAGCGGGACUCAAUCGAGGCCUGGCUAUUGGAAUGAGUACACUUUAAAUCCUUGCACAAGGAUCGAGUGGAGGGCAAGUCUGGUGCCAGCAGCCGCGGUAAUUCCAGCUCCAUUAGCGUAUAUUAAAGUUGUUGCGGUUAAAACGCUCGUAGUUGGCUCUCUGUUCUGGACUGGCGGUGCACCUUAGCGGUGCUACUGUUCCCAGCUUCCAGGCUAAAACCCAGUCGGUUCGCGUGGGGGUGCUCUUAAUCGAGUGUCCCUGGUGUCCGACGAGUUUACCUUGAAAAAAUUAGAGUGCUCAAGGCAGGCAAACUUAACGCCUGAAUGGUGGUGCAUGGAAUGAUGGAAUAGGACCUCGGUUCUAUUUUGUUGGUUUUCUGAACCCGAGGUAAUGAUUAAGAGGGGCUAACGGGGGCAUUAGUACUGCGGGGAUAGAGGUGAAAUUCUUAGACCCUCGCAUGACUAACUACUGCGAAAGCAUUUGCCAAGGAUGUUUUCAUUAAUCAAGAACGAAAGUUAGAGGUUCGAAGGCGAUCAGAUACCGCCCUAGUUCUAACCAUAAACGAUGCUGACCAGCAAUCCGCCACGGUUAUUCCCAUGACCAGGCGGGCAGCUUCCCGGGAAACCAAAGUCUUUGAGUUCCGGGGGAAGUAUGGUUGCAAAGCUGAAACUUAAAGGAAUUGACGGAAGGGCACCACCAGGAGUGGAGCCUGCGGCUCAAUUUGACUCAACACGGGGAACCUUACCAGGCCCAGACACUGGAAGGAUUGACAGAUUAAAAGCUCUUUCUCGAUUCGGUGGGUGGUGGUGCAUGGCCGUUCUUAGUUGGUGGAGUGAUUUGUCUGGUUAAUUCCGAUAACGAACGAGACUCUAGCCUACUAACUAGUCGAUGGAUAAAGUUUAUAAUAUGAUUGCGAUCGUUAAAAGUUAAAGUCAAUGAUACAAACCAUGAAAGUAGGACUUCUUAGCAAUAACAGGUUGUUGGUGUUUGUGGUGUGUGUGUGUCGAUGAAAGAAAGGUCGCAAGGCUGAGUAUGGAUGCAUGCCACUGCUGCUUUCAUUGCUCCUGGUUAAGUUGGACUGCAUUAUGAAAUGGUGUCUAAAUCGCAGCUUCUUCUUAGAGGGAUAAGCGGCAGCAAAUAAAAUAAUAGUCGCACGAGAGAUUGAGCCAUAACAGGUCUGUGAUGCCCUUAGAUGUUCUGGGCCGCACGCGCGCUACAAUGGAGAGUUCAGCAAGCUCUCCCUGCACCGAAAGGUGUAGGUAACCUAUUCAAAGCUGUCCUUAAAGGGGACUGGGGUCUGCAAAUAUUUCCCAUGAACGAGGAAUUCCCAGUAGGCGCAAUUCACUAGAUUGCACCGAUUUAGUCCCUGCCCUUUGUACACACCGCCCGUCGCUACUACCGAUUGAAUGGUCUAGUGAGGGCAUGGGACUGGCGCUCCUGGAGUGGUCGGCUUUUACCAUACCAAGUUCGCUUGAGGUAAUAGUCGCCGCCUCGAGUCGACGGAAACAUGUCCGAGCUGGGUCAUUUAGAGGAAGUAAAAGUCGUAACAAGGUUUCCGU
rnacentral:rRNA from 1 species